rnacentral:rRNA from 1 species
UCGAACGAGAAAGUGGAGCAUCCAUGAGUAAAGUGGCGUACGGGUGAGUAACACGUGGAUGAUCUGCCCUUUAGUGGGGAAUACCGCUGGGAAACCGGCGACAAUACCGCAUAAGCUCGAGAGAGGAAAGCAGCAAUGCGCUGAAGGAGGAGUCCGCGGCCGAUUAGCUAGUUGGUAGGGUAAUGGCCUACCAAGGCUGUGAUCGGUAGCCGGCCUGAGAGGGCACACGGCCACACUGGCACUGAAACACGGGCCAGACUCCUACGGGAGGCAGCAGUGGGGAAUCUUGCACAAUGGGGGAAACCCUGAUGCAGCGACGCCGCGUGAGCGAUGAAGCCCUUCGGGGUGUAAAGCCCUUUCGGCAGGGAAGAUUAUGACGGUACCUGCAGAAGCAGCUGCGGCUAACUACGUGCCAGCAGCCGCGGUAAUACGUAGGCAGCAAGCGUUGUUCGGAGUUACUGGGCGUAAAGGGUGCGUAGGCGGUUCUAUAAGUAUGGUGUGAAAUCUCCCGGCUUAACUGGGAGGGUGCGCUAUAGACUGUGGGACUAGAGUGUGGGAGAGGAAAGUGGAAUUCCUGGUGUAGCGGUGAAAUGCGUAGAUAUCAGGAGGAACACCGGUGGUGUAAACGGCUUUCUGGACCAUAACUGACGCUGAGGCACGAAAGCGUGGGUAGCAAACAGGAUUAGAUACCCUGGUAGUCCACGCCCUAAACGAUGCAUAUUUUGGUGUGGGUCAUUCAGUUGAUCCGUGCCGGAGCUAACGCGUUAAAUAUGCCGCCCUGGGGAGUACAGUCGCAAGGCUGAAACUCAAAGGGAAUUGACGGGGGCCC